UGCAAUGUGACUCACUGGUAGAGCAUUUGCCUAGCAUGUGGGAGGCCCUGGGUUUGAUCCUCAGCACUGCAA
rnacentral:tRNA from 1 species